CAGGAGGAAAACCAGCGGUUGGCCACUUCAUCUGAUUACAAAAAAGUGUGGAUCGGUUUGUUCAGGGACACCUGGCAGAGGUCCGACAAUAGCAAGUCCCGAUUCACUGCCUGUGGCCGAAGUACUUCAAAAAGGGCGGAUUCAAUGACAAAUGUGCUGCCUGGUAUGCCUCAAAGCGUGGUUGGGCUGAUGAUUUGUGUGAAGAGAAGAAAGCCUUCAUGUGUUAGACCCCACCCAGUCGGGUGGUAAAGGGGACCAUCAGGACGGACUCCCCUCUGAAGCUGGAACACCCUGCUGUUCAGGCUGCUAUCGCAGAGCAGAUUCAGCAGAAACUCCAUGGCCAGAGGGUCACCUGGAGACAGCAGCCAGAUGGGAAAGUCUUUCAUGAGAAGAAAAACAAGGAUGCAAAAAAAUUAGAAAAGAGAGAUGAACUAUGAGGAGAGGAGUGAGGAGAUAGAGAUUAAUCAUAUGCAUGAGAGCUCCUGAUCUUUAAAAUUAUAUAGGCAGAAAUUGAUUUAGUUUCAUUUCAAAUGACAUUUAUCCUUUGUGUACUAAUAGACCUUUGCUUACAUAAAUGCAUUAUAGGCUACAUACAAAUGAAGUGGAUUUAUUUGACAAUUUUGACACCUGCUUGACUUUUCUCCUUUUAUGUUUGGAACCAAAUGCUCUUAUCAAAAUUCUGUUUGAUAUGUUACAUACUGUAGGCUAUGCACAAGUGUUUUAAUAAUAAUUUAACAUUAAACACAUAACGAUGCAUCCUGAUAAAGUUCCCUUGGCUUUUGUAAUUAAAAUAGCCCCAGUGCUGCCGCUGUCAAUCUCUGUUGUCCGUUCUCCAAAGAAACCCGUAGCCAUAGAUUAAGUUUGCUUCAGAAUCUCUUGUUUAAUCUGAAAAGAUCUGAACUACACAGCAGGUGGUAAAACUCAUGAGGCAUUCAUACGUGAGAGGUAGCCAAUAAUGUUUGAUCAACUUCUGAAGACGACAAGGACAACAAGCUGAAGUGCAAUGAUAUAAUACAAUGAGUUUUGAGUUCUUUUUUAAGUGCUGGGUAAUGUGUCAAUACUACUGUAUGUGAGGCAGUGUUUGUCAUUGCACUUCUCAGGUGUUGUAGAUGGAGAUUUGGAUGAAGCUGGAGCUGGAGCUGUCAGAGAGUAUCUGGCAUGAAAUGUUAAUGUAGGCUAUACCUGCUCUUCUUUCAGUCAUGCAACUGUGUUUACCGUCAUGUAGCCAAAUUAUUCUGCACUUUGUUGAAAGGAUUGGUCAAUUUGUAUUAGGAGAAACAAAAACCUGCAUACCACGGUGACCAACAGCAUGGGAAGCAUGAGCGUCAUUGUUAUCAUCAUCUACAUGCAACACUGUGGCCACUGCCAAAGCAGGUUGUCUCUGGUGCCCAAAACUGCAGCGGUAAGGUUUAUACACUUAAUUUAAGGUGUUCUCUGAGGGUAAAAUUCUGUAUGGU